UUUGCUUAAAGGAAAGGAGCUCGUCAGCGAUAUGAGACUCAUUUGAACAAGAGUCCAGGCUACCACAUCAUACCAAAUGUGCCUUGAAUAGUCAGGAGCAUUCAAGCAACCAGACUGUCACUGUCAAGGGGAAUCCAGCAUUCUCUGCAAUCACACACUCACUCUACCCAGGCUGACCUAGAGUUCUCUUCGUUGCUACGUUGACGAGGAACUUGAUGAUGGCUGCCAU
rnacentral:lncRNA from 1 species